rnacentral:rRNA from 1 species
UACGGAGGAUGCGAGCGUUAUCCGGAAUCAUUGGGCGUAAAGCGUCCGUAGGUGGUUAUGCAAGUCUGCCGUUAAAGAAUGGAGCUCAACUCCAUAGGAGCGGUGGAAACUGCAAGACUAGAGUACAGUAGGGGUAGCAGGAAUUCCCAGUGUAGCGGUGAAAUGCGUAGAUAUUGGGAAGAACAUCGGUGGCGAAAGCGUGCUACUGGGCUGAAACUGACACUGAGGGACGAAAGCUAGGGUAGCGAAAGGG